UACGUAGGGUGCAAGCGUUAUCCGGAUUUAUUGGGCGUAAAGGGCUCGUAGGCGGUCUUUUAAGUCUGAUGUGAAAGCCUUCGGCUUAACCGGAGUAGUGCAUUGGAAACUGGGAGACUUGAGUGCAGAAGAGGAGAGUGGAACUCCAUGUGUAGCGGUGAAAUGCGUAGAUAUAUGGAAGAACACCAGUGGCGAAAGCGGCUCUCUGGUCUGUAACUGACGCUGAGGUUCGAAAGCGUGGGUAGCAAACAGG
rnacentral:rRNA from 1 species